GAAGAGAGAGGCACAAGAGAGGCUGUUUGCCUGGGAGUGCAUGUUUCAAAUGCUUAGCUGCCUAUAAAGCUGUAACAGUUCAGCCUGUGGCCACUGAGGGAAGAAUAUAAGUUAACCUCUGUAGUGACCAUGUGGAAGUCCUGACCUUGCUUGCAGACUUGACCUCUGGAUAUGACAAGGUAGCUUCAAUACAGAUCUACCAUCUAAUCCUGGCAACUAAAAACAAACAAACAAAAAUUCCACAGCAAGAAAGAUGCAGAACAUUUCCUGAGAAGUCAGAAGACCCCAAUGUCCUCUGGUGGGCAAAGGAAACAGGAAGCGCUGAUUCAGCAAACAGAGUGAAGAGCCGAUCAAGAUGAGAUGGCUGCUACUGGCGUGACUCUGGGUCAUUCUUUCUCUCCCUGCUCAUGACACUAAGCUUACAGGUUCUAGAAGCAAACUAAAAAAUAAGAAGAAAUUUGCUCUGAAGACUAUGAAGAAAUACUAGGCUGAUCUUACCAAUUUCUGAAAUACACUCUGUAAAUCCCCACUGAUUCAAUGGAUAUCUCUCAAAAAGAACCAAACCAGGACAAAGUUCAACAGAUAACUGGUCAAUGUUUAGAAGUGUAUGUCUACCAAGAACAAGGAACCAUAAACGGCACUAAUGCCAUGCCUCAGAAAAGAAAUGAUAUUGAAAUGCAGACUGUGCCACAAAAUUUU